rnacentral:rRNA from 1 species
GACGAACGCUGGCGGCGUGCUUAACACAUGCAAGUCGAACGCUGAACCCGCUUCGGUGGGGGAUGAGUGGCGAACGGGUGAGUAACACGUGGGCAACCUGCCCCCGGCUCUGGGAUAACUCCAAGAAAUUGGGGCUAAUACCGGAUGUGACCGCUGGCCGCAUGGUCUGGUGGUGGAAAGGGUUUCCGGCUGGGGAUGGGCCCGCGGCCUAUCAGCUUGUUGGUGGGGUAGUGGCCUACCAAGGCGACGACGGGUAGCCGGCCUGAGAGGGUGGCCGGCCACACUGGGACUGAGACACGGCCCAGACUCCUACGGGAGGCAGCAGUGGGGAAUAUUGCGCAAUGGGCGGAAGCCUGACGCAGCGACGCCGCGUGGGGGAUGACGGCCUUCGGGUUGUAAACCUCUUUCAGCAGGGACGAAGCGCAAGUGACGGUACCUGCAGAAGAAGCACCGGCCAACUACGUG